GGGCGUGUGGCGCAGUUGGUAGCGCGCUUGCUUUGCAAGCAAGAGGUCAUCGGUUCGAAUCCGGUCUCGUCCA
rfam:Hanseniaspora osmophila strain AWRI3579 Hanseniaspora_osmophila_AWRI3579_scaffold12, whole genome shotgun sequence.